rnacentral:lncRNA from 1 species
UAUCUAGAUCUACUCUAGUUUAGAGAAGAGAGGAGAGCUCUCAUCUCUAAACCCUAGCUUUUGCUCUGUCUAUGAAUAAUGAAUAAUGAUCAAGGGGUGCCUCCUCCAGGGGCCAGGGGGUCUGGUUAUAUAGUCCCCUAAAGUGAACCUGGGCCGUCGGAUCAAACCGACAUUGAUUGAACGGUUAUUCUUGAUCCUUUAGGUCGGUGGAGAUCUCUCGAGAGAAAGAGUCCUGAUUGGGCUCCAAGUCAGGGCGGGCGCCCAGGGCAGGAGGGCGGGCGCCCUGCCUCUGGCCCCGUUCGGCCUCCACUUCCUUCCCGUGGCUUCUGGAGUCUUCUAGAUGUAAGAUAAUUGCGUGGCACGUUAAUAUCUCUAUGUAAUCCUGAUUUUAUGGACCUUUCUUCCGUACUUCCUAAUAACCCCCUUCAGAAAUAGACAAACACCAAAACUCAUGGAAUUCUGUCAGAUAAAACCCUAAGUCUAGAUGUUGAUUUCAUUUGGAUCCUUUUCUUUGUUUAUUUGAUAAUUAAAUUUGAUACUUAAGGACCGUCAACAAACUCCCCCAAGCUUACCUCUUGCUCGUCCCUGAGUAAGGAUAGACUCAGCAAUGGAUCAGAAGUUGUUGCAAUAUCUUAAAAAUUUGACGGUACACAUGCUUUUAAAUAAGGUCUCAUCUCUGAGUUAGAGUAAACUGUCAAAACUAAAACUUACUUACUUUACCUUUCACCAUGGGACUUGUAACCGUCACUUCUGUCUUGAGUAGUUAAAAGAUAGAACAGUCUAGCCAAGUGCCAUGUCUCUUAUUCUUGAUCAGCUAUAGCUCUGGAGUUUUUGCAGAUUUUCAAAUAAAACACAGAGAUUCCUUGUAUGACUCUCUAAAUCUCUCUUUUGUGGUAUUUCUGGAUCCUUACCAAGGCAGUGAUGGUAUAUGCCUUCUCUCAAGAUAUGUGGUAUUUGUGGUAUAAGGCAUUGUGACAUUGCCUUCUCUCUCAGCCUACUCUAAUAAGGCUUUAAUAUCUGGAGCUCAUAGGUGGGAGAUAAAGUAUACAUACUUACAAGACAUUUAUUGUAUAGUCAAACCAUGGAUCCAAAGAAACAAAUGAAUAAGCCAAAUCAAGAUGUGCAUGUGUGGCGAAUGAAUGGUGUAUGGUGAUGAUGGUGAUAACAAUGGUGAAAGUCUAAUUCUACUUUUGCUCAUUUGAGGGGAUACAUACCUUCCUUGCUUUUUGAAACUUUAUGAGGAGAAUGAGAUGCUCUUCUUUUUCUUUCCUCUCAGGUGGGUAUCUUGUACCCCUAAUUCUACUGUCGGACACUUGUCCAUUUUUACCUCUUGUCUCACUUUUUCUUCCUUUCGAGGUUCCGGGCACUUGCCCCUUUUUAUUUCCUCGUUUAUUUAUUAUUUUUUUUCUUCUAUUUUUUUUCAGAGUACUCAUCUCUUGAGAUAAUAUAGCAAGUGGUAGUAGCAAGAUAACUUGAGCAUUUAUUUCACAAGGGAAAACAGAAAUAUUUUUGGCUAUUCUCUCCCGGAUUAGGAGUAGAAUAUUUUUUGGUGGUUCUGGAGAUGGACAUGGAUGGAUAUAUGUGAAUGGUACUUCCGGAGUAGAAGUAGCAUAUAUGAGUGAACGUGCAAGUGAAUCUUGAUUUAACCACAUGACAAGCUCCUAAGGGUCUACACAGCUUGACCACACUCAAUGCUCAUAAGCAGUAAAUAGUAAAUGUGUGGCUCAAAGUCUAGCAAGCAUGUAUAUAUGGCUGUGGUAGGAAUUUAAACUCUCAUCAUACAGGAACUCAUUAUGCAAUAUUUUAAAGAUUUUUUCAAAGAUAAAAUUCUUCAGAAUUCUAGCAUCUCUAGGAACAGAUAAACAGCAGCUCAACCUUCCCAUAUCAUAUCCGUUAACAACUUAGAUUUCAGAUCAAGUUUUCAUCCCACAAGUUUAGAUCUAGAGCAAGUUUUAAAUUAUAACAGUUAUGUCUAAACUUGAGAGAGAACUUCAAAUGUUAAAAAGACAGAGCAACUAUUCAUCAUAUCCAUGCUUGAGUUUUAUUUCGAUACAGAUUAGCAUAGCCACUUUAUUUAUUUAUUAAACACACUAAGCAAAAGAUAUAUAUAUAUAUAUAUAUAUAUAUAUAUAUAUAUAUAUAUAUAUAUAUAUAUAUAUAUAUAUAUAUAUAUAUAAGCACAAAAUCUUUAUUUGGUUUUUCAUAGUUUAUGUAUUUUAAUAUUCUAACAUAAUAUAAGUAUAAAGAUAGGUAGAAAUACUUAGCGAGAUAAAUGGGGGUGCUCUCCCCCAAGCUGAAUUUUGACGUAAUUUCUCUUGAUGUAGCUAGCAGGUGGCAGAGGUGUAUUUGAAAGUCAGCAGCAUUUUGACAGCAAUUAGAAUGUCCUCCAUUUGCUAGUCUUCUUGAUUCUUAAAUCCUGUGGAGCUCAAAUAGACAACAAAGCUUGUGGAACUGAUUAAGUGUUAGCAUAAAUAUCUAGCCUUCAUCAUGUUGAGCUUCCUCAAUAAAUAUUACUCUCUAUUUUGUUUAUAUUUUCGUUUUAUAAAGCAGAAAAGAAAUAUUUAUUUUGUUUUUAUGCCACCAUAGUGAAUGUACUUAUGAGUUUCAUGCCACGAGCAUACUCACAUGAGGCUUAGUAUUUUUAACAUUUUUAUUUUCUUUUCAAGAUAGCAUGACUAACUAACAAGCCAUUUAAGGAAAGUAAAUAAUUAAAAGGAAAAGGGAAUGCAGAAAGGAUAAAUAUGGAUAACUACCGAUCUUACCUUUCGGCGAGGGUUCAAUGAUUUAAGUCUUCUGAACAAGAUUUCUCACCGUGUUCAUUCUUCAGGUGCGUCAUUUGAUUCAGGUGCGGACCUUGACGUUUGCACCUCUUCGUUUGCCCAGCAGUUCGAAGUGUGGCGUUAGCAGUAUCCUGCUCAGUGUGUUUGUGCUCGUAGAUCCAGGUCCUUCACUUGGUAGAGUCUGAGAGUUAUAAAACUCCUCCGUGUUUUGCUCGAAGUGUACCUGCUCAUAGAGACAAGGCAGAGAUCAAGUGCAUGGGUCCUGUUGGUGGAAAACACCAACAGAACCUAAAGUGUAUUUGUUCUUCUCCAACCCUAAGCAUAGUGAGCAAGACAAAGUUGAUGGAUGAAAAGUCCAUGAGUGUAGCACUUAUAACAUUUGUCAGAUCAGAUCGCUCAACCUUAUGGAAAAAUAAUCUAUCUAUGUAUAUGUCUUUUUCUUUAUAUCUCUCAAUGAUUGAAUGUGUAACAUUUUAGCUCAUAUGAUUAGGAGUGUGGGAUCAUGGAGGUAGUACUAAGAACAAGGAUUAAAGGACUAAACAUGUUGAAUCAGUUGGGUUGGUUAAUCUAGAGUUGUAAAUCAUACAUGUUUGUCUCUUUUAUUUAUAUGAACGCCAGAACUAAGGAGAAGCUUAUAAAAGUGAUAGUCAAGUACCUUAAGAUGUUACCUUGCUUGAAGACUAAUGGUGUAGUAUCACCUUGUGGAAGCUUUCCUUUCUUAGUGGUUGUGCAUCGUGUUUGUGGCACCCUCCAUGGAUCAUCUCUCUAUGAUGAAUGAGCUAUGUCCUUCUUGUGCAAAUUGUUAAACUUCAUGUGUCACUCUCUUCGUCCCUGAUGUGAGUUUAUCUCAGGACAUCCCAAAUCAAUAUUGAAAGUUUUUCUGCAGGGGUUAGUCCGACAAAAAUAUACCAAUGUCUACACAAGUAGGUUUUAGUUCAAUUACCGAACUAGACUCCAUGUCUAAUCAGAUUAAGGAAGGUUGUUUAACCUAAGAACCAUGCUUAAUUUAAAAGCCAAUAGAAGUAUGUGCAGUACUUCCAAACUAACAUUUACUAGUAAAUAGACAAAGGUAACAUGACAGCAUUUAUAGAGAUCUACUCAAGUGGAGAUGAAGUAGUGUGAUUAGUAUUUAACAAAUUGAGCAUGUCUUAAAGGUAGGGACAACCAACAUAGUAACAUGGCAAAGGAUGUUUUUAUGUAAAGUACUCCCCCAAGCUUGAAUUUUGCAGAAUUCAAGUUUGGAUGAAUUUAAUUUAGUGUUGCAUGAUGAUCGGUUGGACAUACCUUGUGCUUGUCAUUCAUCCGAUCUUCUUGCUCCAAUCCUGGAAAGGUUAGUGACAAGAAUACCCGAAGGAAUAUUUUCACAAUUAUCUUUAUAUGCUCAAUACACAAGGUAAUGUUGCAAAUAAUUAAAAACUCAUGUUACGAUCUGAUCAGUGCUUAUUUUAGGACACUAAGCUUGUCCUUGGGAAACCAUCAAUUUAUGUCAGCGAAGUGGUUUCCCUUCCAACGCUGACCUAAAUCAAGAUCAACUCAACGAGAUCUGCAAUAUUUAUUAUAGACAUAUGCAUCGACAACCGCCCUUUUAAAGUUUUUAUAAAUAGAAAGGAAGAGGGGGUUGGAGAUCUCAAAUGUGGUGAUGUUGGAGAGACCAAUAGAUUGGGAAGAUGUUGCAUAUGAGCAUGGAGUAAACAAAGUGGCUAUGAAAUAAGUUCCAUGCUCAUUAAUGUUAUCUUCGUCUCCAAUCUGAAUGUUCAGAGUUUCUCUUGGAUUGGUCUCACUUAUGUCCUCUUCUAUAGUUGGAUGAAUCCCAUCUUCAAAGGGAGUCAAUAACUCACCAUUUGAAAUUGAACCAAAGUCAGAAUUCAUUAAGGCUUCUUCCUUAUCCAUCCAUUCUACACAUUCUAGCCAUUUAGAAUUUGUGAUCAGGAAAGGGAGGUGUUAGAAUUUUCAAUAUGGCUUAGCUCUCCUUUACUUAAUGUGUCAUCUUCGACUUCUUCAUAACAGGAACCAGGACAUUCUCUAAGAGAACCAUUAUUGCGAGGAUUUGAAUUAUCCCUGCUUGAAGGUCUCUUAUGGAACCAGAAGUUUAAACCAUCAACAUCUGAAAGAUUUAAGGUCAGAAUUCCUUCCUCCCUUGGAGAAUUUUGGGGUAUUGAUGGUUUAGGAUCGAUAGCUAAAGUUUGGGAUUGAAGUGGUUGUGAUCUGGCUAUCGAAACUUCUUUUUCUUGUCUAGGAACUGGUUCUGUCUCUUUCUCAGGGAUAUAAAAGCUAGGAGACUUUCCACUCAUUAAAUCAAUCAAAUUCCAAGCUUCACUAGCGGAUAGGUGGUGUAAAGAUCCUCCAGAGGCAGCAUGAAGGGUUUGCUUAUUUUUCCUACUAAGGCCCUCAAAAAAGUGAAUUAGAAGAACUUCUUCUGGAAUAGAAAGCUUUGGGCCAGUGAGAGUAAGGUUAAUAAAGCGGUCCCAUGAUUUGCCAAGAGAUUCUUCCUCCAAUUGUCUAAAAGAAAGAAUCUCAUGCCGAAGUUCCGCCACUUUAGAGAUUGGAAAAUAUUUUAAAAGAAAACUAUUAUGUAACUCCUUCCAAUCUCCAUGAACACUCCUUACUUUGAGUUUGUACCAAUGUCUAGCUUUUCCUGUUAAAGAGAAAGGAAAGAGCUUCCAUUUAAUGGUCUCAUCGGACAUGCCUUCUAUGCGAAGGAGGUCACAGACUCGAUAAAACUCUCUUAGGUGUGUGUAUGGGUUUUCCUCACCUUCUCCUGAGAAAGGUUGUUUUUGAACAAAUUCUAUGUAUUCGGGGUCUAUCUCAAAACUAGAUGCUAUGAUAGGCUUUGAAGAUUUUGGAGGUUCGAGAUGUGUGCCCGUAGGUCUAUGAAAUUCAUAGAUAGACAUGUUUGAAUUCAUGAUAGAUCAGAGAUCAAGGAUUAGAAAAGAAGAAAGAAUAGCAGAGAUAAGGCAAAGGAUAAAAGGUAAUAUAUAUAUAUAUAUUAUUUUUUUAUUUUUUAGAAAAUGAUUAAGCUAGUUCGUAGUCAACUCAGCAACCGUUUCCCCGACAAUGGCGCCAAAAAUGCUUGUUGACACUUGCUAACACCACUUGAAUACUAGGUUGUCAUCCCCAGCAUGGCACUAGAGUGUACUAUGGUAUUUAUACGCACACAGAUAAUCCGCAAGCGCACGGAUACCGUUGAAGCUUUUACCCGGUUAAAGGUUUUAUCAUAUUCACAGGGAAACGGGAGAACUGAUCUACACUCUAACUUAACCAAGAUAAGUAAAUAGGUGUAAAUAGGAAAGAUGGUAGAAUCAAAUAAGAACAAUAUUAAAGGUAAGAUAACAGUGAGUGACAAUAUGGGAAUAGAGAGUAGAGCAAUUUAGUAUAUGGGCGAUGGUAGCAGAAUAGAGAGGAUAACUAUGGUUUCUCUACUUCAAAGGGGUAUGUCUAUGUCUGGGACGAACCACGUGAUAAGAUUACGCCACAAAGGAUGCUUAUCCUUAGGCCGAUAAACCCUACCCGUCCUGCUAACGAGAGGUGGACUACAUAGGACCAACGUAACUGUCACCUACGCGGCCUACCACACGAUCCAGCUAGACAGGGGAUAUCCACAAGUAAUCUAGAUCUAAGCACCACGCUUACACCUAUACUACAACUCUAACCUAUAGCGUCCUAUAGAUUAGAAGUACUCAAAAGAGUUGUGAACCAGAACAUACAUAAUUAGUAAUUGCAUAAUGAAUUAGAAGUAGAUUACCAGAGUCAUCCCAUGAGCAAGCUUGAUUAGAGCUUGAUCAUGACGAAGUACAACCGGAGGAAGAACCGACAGGCCGGCCUCUCCUCCAAUCCUCCCUCGCUCUCCAUCUUGCUACUAUCUAGAUCUACUAUAGUUUAGAGAAGAGAUGAGAGCUCUCAUCUCUAAACCCUAGCUUUUGCCCUGUCUAUGAAUAAUGAAUAAUGAUCAAGGGGUGCCUCCUCUAGGGGCCAGGGGGUCUGGUUAUAUAGUCCCCUCAAGUGAACCUGGGCCGUCGGAUCAAACCGACAUUGAUUAAACGAUUAUUCUUGAUCCUUUAGGUCGGUGGAGAUCUCCCGAGAGAAAGAGUCCUGAUUAGGCUCCAAGUCAGGGCGGGCGCCCAGGGCAGGAGGGCGGGCGCCCUGCCUCUAGCCCCGUUCGGCCUCCGCUUCCUUCCCGUGACUUCUAGAGUCUUCUAGAUGUAAGAUAAUUGCGCGACACGUUAAUAUCUCUAUGUAAUCCCGACGUGUGGACCUUUCUUCCGUAUUUCCUGAUAACCCCCUGCAGAAAUAGACAAACACAAAAACUCGUGGAAUUCUGUCAGAUAAAACCCUAAGUCUAGAUGUUGAUUUCAUUUGGAUCCUUUUCUUUAUUUAUUUGAUAAUUAAAUUUGAUACUUAAGGACCGUCAACAGUACAUUAUUUCUUGAGAAAACUAAUAUCUAUGAGUGUGUUAGUGUGUGAAAAUGCAGUGGGAGUAAGAAGCUUCUUUAGAAAUGAUUCUAAGCUUAUAAAAACAAGUGGCUAACUUCACUGAGCAGCUGAAGGAAAAUGCUGAUAAAAUGGAAGGUAUAGAGUCAAUGAACACUGAUUUCCUUAUCAAGGAUAGGACCAUCAACGAGGAGUUGCAACACAUUCAGAAAGAGCUACUGGAUGUGAUUCUAAGCUUACAAAAAGCAACUGUCUAACCUCACUGAGCAGCUGAAGGAAAAUGCCGACAAAGUGGAAGGUAUAGAGUCAAUGAACACUGAUCUCUUUACCAAGGAAAGGAACAAUAACGAGGAGUUGCAACGCGUUCGGAAGGAGCUGCUGGAUGUAAACUACCAUGUUGAUUGACUAGCUAUUCUAUAUUAUGUUCUGUUGUGCUGGUCUCAAAUCAAUGAUGGAACUUAGGUCUCCUUUGCGUUAGCAUCAUAUCUAAUGCACAUUCUAUUUUUUGUUUGUUGCAUGCUUUUUAGAGGGAGGUUUUUGCGGUUGAUCACUAUACUAAUAUAUGUCUAAAGAAAAUGGGCGAAAUUGAUUCCAAAGCAUUCAGAGCACCUUGGAUGAAAAGGUUACCACAAGAGGCAGAUGAACUCAUUCCUAUUCUCGUUUGUUCAAAGUUGCAACAAGAAAUCCAAAACUCAGAAUGGUACCCAUUCAAGAAUCAAGUGGUGGAUGAGAAACUGUUGGUAAGGCCUUUGAUCACAUACAAUUGCUAUCUGAUUACCUAGUAGGUUUUUUAUUGAAAUCUGGUUGGUAUUUCUGACUCAGCAAAUUCUUCAAAAGGAUGAUAACAUGCUCCAAAAGCUGAAAGCAGAUCACGGUGAAGAGAUUUAUGGGUUGGUCAUAAAAGCCAUGUGUGAGAUCAUCAAGUACAAUGCUAGUGGCCGCUAUCCUGUAAACAGGCUAUGGAACUACAAGGAGGACCGCAAUGUAUCACCUGAUGAAGUCGUCCAGUACCUCAUGAAGAAGUGCAUUACUAAGAAAAAAAGCGUUGACCUGUCUUGUAUUGUUGCAUUGCCUUCUUUCAUUCACUUGUUUAAUUGGGUGGAUUAUUUUUUAUAUUUGUCUUGUGUUCUUGGGUGGUUGUGAUACGUCAUUGAAAACACGAAUGUUUUUGGGAAAACGCAAAUUUUUCUUCAGCUUAUCUAGACAUCAGUGGAGAACAUGUAAGUCCACUUCACCACUUCUGUUUAGGAUUGGAUAACGUGAAUUGGCAACUUGUGUCUGAGUGUGUGACUGCAUCUAUGACUCCACAUCACCACUUCUGAUAGGAUGACGUUGCAAACAGAAGUUUUGCAAAAGGAAGCAGGAGCUGCUGCCGAUCGGUGGCCGCUUCCAUGUCUUCAGCUUUUCAGGAUAUCAGUGCAAAACUUGUAACUCAACUUCACCACUCCUGUUUAGGAUUGGGUAACCUAAAUAGUGAAUGUGUACGUAUGACUCCACCUCACCACUUUGUGACAGGUUGAUGUUGUAAAUAGAAGCAGUGCAGACGUGACCCUAGCCCUAGAUUUACAGUUUAGUACUAUACAUAGCAUCAUUUCUGUGUUCUUAAUGCAAACUUGCAGUUGUUUCUUUUAACUUUUUUUCUCAACUAGGAUGUUGCAAGAGUCAGGAAAUUGACUUAAGAUCCAAGGAGCAAGAGAAGGAAAAGGUGUGAUGGUUUACUACUUCAUUGUAUUAUAAUCUUGUAUUAUUAUUUUUGUAAAUCUUGAAAUCUUGUGGUAUUACUUCUGUAGCUUCAUUGUAUAUUUGUGUUAUUACUAUUGCGUUGAAGAAAGAUUAUUGUAAAUAUCUUGUAUUACCACUUCAACAAUACAUAUUUUUUUCGGGCAGUACAUUAUUUCUUGAGAAACUAAUAUCUAUGAGUGUGUUAGUGUGUGAAAAUGUAGUGGGAGUAUGAAGCUUCUUUAGAAAUGAUUCUAAGUUUAUAAAAACAAGUGGCUAACUUCACUGAGCAGCUGAAGGAAAAUGCUGAUAAAAUGGAAGGUGUAGAGUCAAUGAACAUUGCUUUCCUUAUCAAGGAUAGGACCAUGGACGAGGAGUUGCAACACGUUCAGAAGGAGCUGCUGAAUGUGAUUCUAAGCUUACAAAAAACAACUGGCUAACCUCACUGAGCAGCUGAAGGAAAAUUCCAACAAAGUGGAAGGUAUAGAGUCAAUGCACACUGAUCUCUUUAUCAAGGAAAGGAACAACAGCGAGGAGUUGCAACGCAUUCGAAAGGAGCUGCUGGAUGUAAGCUACCAUGUUGAUUGACUAGCUAUUCAAUAUUAUGUUCUGUUUGCGUUAGCAUCAUAUCUGAUGCACAUUCUCUUUUUUGUUUGUUGCAUGCUUUUUAAAGGGAGGUUUUUGCGGUUGAUCACUAUACUAAUAUAUGUGUAAAGAAAAUGGGCAAAAUUGAUUCCAAAGCAUUCAGAGCACCUUGGAUGAAAAGGUUACAACCGGAGGCAGAUGAACUCAGUCCUACUCUCGUUUGUUCAAAGUUGCAACAAGAAAUCCAAAACUCAGAAUGGUACCCUUUCAAGAUUCAAGUGGUGGAUGAGAAACUGAUGGUAUGGCCUUUGAUCACAUACAAUUGCUAUCUGAUUACCUAGUAGGUUUUUCAUUGAAAUCUGGUUGGUAUUUCUGACUCAGCAAAUUCCUCAAAAGGAUGAUAACAUGUUCCAACAGUUGAAAGCAGAUCACGGUGAAGAGAUUUAUGGGUUGGUCAUAAAAGCCUUGUGUGAGAUCAUCAACUACAAUGUAAACGGGCUGUGGAACUACAAGGAGGACCGCAAUGUAUCACCGGAUAAAGUCAUCCACUACCUCAUGAAGAAGUGCAUUACUAAGAAGAAAAAGCGUUGACCUGUCUUGUAUUGUUGCUUUGCCUUAUUUCAUUCACUUGUUUAAUUGGGUGGAUUCUUGUUUAUAUUUGUCAUGUGUUCUUGGGUGGCUGUGUUACAUCAAUGAAAACACAAUUUUUUUUGGUGAAACACCAAUUUUUCUUCAGCUUAUCUGGACAUCAGUGGAGAACAUGAAAGUCCACUUCACCACUUUUGUUUAGGAUUGGAUAACCUAAAUUGGCAACUUGUGUCUGAGUGCAUGACUGCAUCUAUGACUCCACUUCACCACUUGUGAUAGGAUGAUGUUGCAAACGGAAGUAUUGCAAGAGGAUGCUGGAGCUGCUGCCAGUCGGUGGCCACAUCCAUGUCUUAACCUUAUCAGGAUAUCUGUGCCAAACAUGUAAGUCCACUUCACCACUUCUGUUUAGGAUUGGGUAACCUGAAUAGUGAAUGUGUACAUGACCGCAUGUAUGACUCCGCUUCACCACUUUGUGAUAGGAUGAUGUUGUAAACGGAAGCGGUGCAGACAUGACCCUAGCUCAGGAUGUACAGUUUAGUACUCUACAUAGCCUCAUUUCUGUGCUCAUAAUGUAAACUUACAGUUGUUUCUUUUAACUUUUUUUCUCAACCAGGAAGUUGCAAGUGUCAGGAAAUUGACUUAAGAUCCAAGGAGUAAGAGAAGGAAAAGGUGUGAUGGUUUAUUGCUUCAUUGUACUAUAAUCUUGUAUUAUUACUUUUGUAAAUCUUGAAAUCUUGUGGUAUUAAUUUUGUAGCUCCAUUGUAUAUUUGUGUUAUUACUAUUGCGUUGAAAGAAGAUUUUUGUAAAUGUCUUGUACUACCGCUUCAACAAUACAUAUUUAUUUUUGGGGCAGUACAUUAUUUCUUGAGAAUGUGUUAUUGUGUGAAAAUGCAGUGGGAGAAAGAAGCUGCUUUAGAAAUGAUUCUAAGCUUGCAAAAACAAGUGGCUAACCUCACUGAGUAGCUAAAGGAAAAUGCCGAUAAAAUGGAAGGUAUAGAGUCAAUGAACAUUGAUCUCCUUAUCAAGGAUAGGACCAUCAACGAGGAGUUGCAACGCGUUCAGAAGGAGCUGCUGGAUGUGAUUCUAAGCUUACAAAAACAAGUGGCUAACCUCACUGAGCAGCUGAAGGAAAAUGCCAAUAAAAUUGAAGGUAUAGAGUCAAUGAACACUGAUCUCUUUAUCAAGGAAAGGAACAACAAUGAGGAGUUGCAAUGUGUUCAAAAGGAGCUGUUGGAUGUAAGCUACCACAUUGAUUGACUAGCUAUUCGAUAUUAUGUUCUAUUGUGCUAGUCUAAAAUCAAUGAUGGAACCUAGGUCUCCUUUGCUUUGGCAUCAUAUCUCAUGCACAUUCUCUUUCUGGUUUGUUGCAUGCUUUGUAGGGGAAGGUUUUUGCGGUUGAUCGCCAUACUAAUAUACAUGUAAAGAAAAUGAGCAAGAUUGAUUGCAAAGCAUUCAGAGCAGCUUGGAUAAAAAGGUUUACCACAGGAGGCAGACCAACUCAGUCCUACUCUCGUUUGUUCAAAGUUGCAACAAGAAAUCCAAAACUCACAAUGGUACCGUUUCAAGAUUCAAUUGGUGGAUGAGAAACCGAUGGUAUGGCCUUUGAUCACAUAUAUACAAUUGCUAUGUGAUCACUGUAACACCUUAAAAAUUUAAAUUCAAUUGAAUUAGGUUAACCUAAAUUACUUAUGCAUUUUUUUGGGCAUCACACAACUAGGUAAUAUUUUUGUUCAAUCAAAAUACAUCAUAAGGUUUAUUUUUUUUUGGUGUUGCAUACAUGUUGGUGCAUAUUUAUUUUUUUAUAUGCUUGCGGUUAUGUUUUAUCUCAUAUGUUUUGUUAGCUAUUAUUUUAUUUUAGCUUAAGCUUGUCUUGAGUUGGUAAUUAGUAGUGAUACUGUCUACAUGCCUUCAAUAAAAAAAAUGAUAGCUGUAGUUCAGUUUCAGCUGCAUUUAUAUUUGAAAACAGUUAGCAAAAGAGAAGAGAGAAAACAGUAAAGAAUAGAGAAGAUAACAUGAAACAGAAAAGAAAAUAAAAGGAGAAAGGAAAAGAAAAUAAAGAAAACCCUCCCCUGCCUGAGUUGGCCGAGAGGCCCAUUUUCUUCCUCCUCUCUUCUUCUGGCGCAGUAGCCAGUAGCAGCGGCGGCAAGUGGCCCAGCAAAUCACCAAAGGCCAGCCCGGGAGGAAACAGGCGCAUGCUUCCUUCCUCCCUGGUCUUCACACGCUAAUGCUUGGACCCCACCGAGCAGUGUCUUCCCGUUCCUUCCUCCCCUGCUCGAGUAUGAACCGGACUCAAGGUAUGACCCGAGUCGGAUGCAAGCACCGCGCUCAGAUCGAUCUCACGACUCGAUCCCAACGCCAUGACUGAACCCUAUAAAGUCCCUUGCCCUAUGCGCC